AUGCCCAUAGCAUUAUAAACUUAAGUUAAUGAAACAAGCGUUAGGACAAGAGUAAAGUUGUGCAAAGUCUCCUGGAGUACAAAGGUCUGGUACAAAGGUCAAUCUGUGAAUCAUGUGACUAUACACGUGCAAAGCGCAAGGCUGAAUUAACAACAAACCAUUGUCAAAUCUCUUCCCAUGUGUGCGGGAAAAUAGACCAAUCAGGUUUCACCUCUUCGUCUGCAUAGUUUCCUGCUUGGAUCAGUAAGCCUCAUUGUGUCACUUGCAAGCAAAAUUGUAUGACCUCUGUGGCAAAGUACUUCAAAGUUACCACCCAUCCCACCCUUCAAGGAUU
rnacentral:lncRNA from 1 species